UACAGAGGUCUCAAGCGUUUGUUCGGAUUCAUUGGGCGUAAAGGGUGCGUAGGCGGCGCGGUAAGUCGGGUGUGAAAUCUCGGAGCUUAACUCCGAAACUGCAUUCGAUACUGCGUGCUUGAGGACUGGAGAGGAGACUGGAAUUUACGGUGUAGCGUGAAAUGCGUAGAGAUCGUAAGGAAGACCAGUGGCGAAGGCGGGUCUCUGGACAGUUCCUGACGCUGAGGCACGAAGGCCAGGGGAGCAAAC
rnacentral:rRNA from 1 species